GACGAACGCUGGCGGCGUGCUUAACACAUGCAAGUCGAACGGAAAGGCCCUGCUUGCAGGGUACUCGAGUGGCGAACGGGUGAGUAACACGUGGGUGAUCUGCCCUGCACUUCGGGAUAAGCUUGGGAAACUGGGUCUAAUACCGGAUAGGGGCCAUCUUUAGUGUGGUGGUUGGAAAGUUUUUUCGGUGUAGGAUGAGCUCGCGGCCUAUCAGCUUGUUGGUGGGGUAAUGGCCUACCAAGGCGGCGACGGGUAGCCGGCCUGAGAGGGUGUACGGCCACAUUGGGACUGAGAUACGGCCCAGACUCCUACGGGAGGCAGCAGUGGGGAAUAUUGCACAAUGGGCGCAAGCCUGAUGCAGCGACGCCGCGUGGGGGAUGAAGGCCUUCGGGUUGUAAACUCCUUUCGCUAGGGACGAAGCUUUGUUGUGACGGUACCUAGAUAAGAAGCACCGGCUAACUACGUG
rnacentral:rRNA from 1 species